CCUACGGGAGGCUGCAGUGGGGAAUAUUGCACAAUGGGCGAAAGCCUGAUGCAGCAACGCCGCGUGAGCGAUGAAGGCCUUCUGGUCGUAAAGCUCUGUUUUCAAGGAAGCUAAAGACGGCACGCGAGGAGUUCCGCCCGGCUACCUACGUGCCAGCUGCCGCGGUAAUACGCAGGCGGCUAGCGUUAUCCGGAAUUACUGGGCGUAAAGGGUGCGUAGGCGGUUUCUUAAGUCAGCGGUAAAAGGGUGCGGCUCAACCUGAGUGAGCCGUUGAAACUGGGGAACUUGAGUGAAGGAGAGGAGAGUGGAAUGCGUGGUGUAGCGGUGAAAUGCAUAGAUAUUACGCAGAACUCCGGUUGCGAAGGCAGCACACUGGAGUGUAACUGACACUGAGGCACGAAAGCGUGGGGAGCGAACAGGAUUAGAUACCCUUGUAGUC
rnacentral:rRNA from 1 species